rnacentral:lncRNA from 1 species
CGCUGGAGUUGUAAAUUCGAGCGCUGUAGAUAUAAUACUAGUAGUCGGGCGCACUGUAUAUUUGAAGUCAAGCGCUGAAGCAGUGAAGUUGAGCGCUGUGAAAUAUAAAAGUCAAGCGCUCUAGAUCUAAAAAAAAUGUCCAGCACAGUAGAUAACAGUCUAUAUCUAUUUCUACAUCGCUUGACUUAAAACCUACAGCGUUAGACUUUGCAUCUCCAGUGUAUGAAUGAGAACAAUAGGGUUCCGUACUGAACUGAUUUUUUUUCUAUUUUUUUUUUACAAUUUGGUUGCUUUUUUUUAAUUGUGUUUACUUAAAAGGGAAUGACCUUUAAUUCUAUUGUUUUAGAAGCAUAAAUAAAAAACUAUCAACAAACUCGAUCCUAUGAAAAAAUCCCCUACAGAUAUAACGUUGUGAUAUUUUUCUUGUUUUUAGAAUAGAUUAAAACACACAUUGAACUUUUAUCUGAAAAUCUCUUUAUCAUGC